GAUGAACGCUAGCGGCAGGCUUAACACAUGCAAGUCGAGGGGUAACAGGGGAGCUUGCUUCCGCUGACGACCGGCGCACGGGUGCGUAACGCGUAUAGAACCUACCUUUUACAGGAGAAUACCCCAGAGAAAUUUGGAAUAAUGCUCCAUAGUAUUAUUGAACGGCAUCGUUUAAUAAUUAAACAUUUAUGGGUAAAAGAUGGCUAUGCGUUCUAUUAGCUAGAUGGUAAGGUAACGGCUUACCAUGGCAACGAUAGAUAGGGGUCCUGAGAGGGAGAUCCCCCACACUGGUACUGAGACAGGGACCAGACUCCUACGGGAGGCAGCAGUGAGGAAUAUUGGACAAUGGAGGCAACUCUGAUCCAGCCAUGCCGCGUGCAGGAAGACGGUCCUAUGGAUUGUAAACUGCUUUUAUACAGGAAGAAACACUCCCUCGUGAGGGAGCUUGACGGUACUGUAUGAAUAAGCACCGGCUAACUCCGUGCCAGCAGCCGCGGUAAUACGGAGGGUGCAAGCGUUAUCCGGAAUCAUUGGGUUUAAAGGGUCCGUAGGCGGGCUAAUAAGUCAGGGGUGAAAUCCAACAGCUUAACUGUUGAACUGCCUUUGAUACUGUUAGUCUUGAAUUAUAUGGAAGUAGAUAGAAUGUGUAGUGUAGCGGUGAAAUGCUUAGAGAUUACACAGAAUACCGAUUGCGAAGGCAGUCUACUACGUAUAUAUUGA
rnacentral:rRNA from 1 species